GCGGCGGACGGGUGAGUAACGCGUGGGUAACCUGCCUUACACUGGGGGAUAACAGUUAGAAAUGACUGCUAAUACCGCAUAAGCGCACAGGGCCGCAUGGUCUGGUGUGAAAAACUCCGGUGGUGUGAGAUGGACCCGCGUCUGAUUAGGUAGUUGGUGGGGUAACGGCCCACCAAGCCGACGAUCAGUAGCCGACCUGAGAGGGUGACCGGCCACAUUGGGACUGAGACACGGCCCAAACUCCUACGGGAGGCAGCAUG
rnacentral:rRNA from 1 species